UGAAUUAUUCAUUCUGGACUCUUGGGGGG
rnacentral:piRNA from 1 species